rnacentral:rRNA from 1 species
GACGAACGCUGGCGGCGUGCUUAACACAUGCAAGUCGAACGGUCCUGUUUUUGAAGCGCUUCGGCGUGGAGGGAGCGGGUUAGUGGCGCACGGGUGAGUAAUGCGCGAGGACCUGCCCGCGGGAGGGGGACAGCAGUUGGAAACGGCUGGUGAUACCCCGUAAGCCGGGAGGUAAAAGGGCGGAGACGCCCGCCUGCGGAUGGACUCGCGUCCUAUCAGCUAGUUGGUGAGGCAACGGCUCACCAAGGCGACGACGGGUAGCCGGCCUGAGAGGGUGUCCGGCCACACUGGAACUGAGACACGGUCCAGACUCCUACGGGAGGCAGCAGUGGGGAAUUUUGGGCAAUGGGGGAGACCCUGACCCAGCGACGCCGCGUGAGGGACGAAGGCCUUCGGGUCGUAAACUCCUGUCAGAGGUGAAGAAUACCCGCAAGGGUUGACGGUAACCUCAGAGGAAGCCCGGCUAACUACGUG